GCAAACGUUCAAACCACUCCGAAUGCACCGUAUCCCAUUCCGAACUGCGAAGUUAAACGAGGUUGGGGUGACUUAGUACUAUGGUGGGUGACCACAUGGGAAACGUCUACUGAUGUUUGUA
rnacentral:rRNA from 1 species